CAAAUAUUUUGAAAACACGCAAAACAAGAGAGAGAAGCCAUUGAGCCGUCUCUCCAUCUCCCUUCUCUCUUCCUUCAACUCUAUUCCUCCUCUCUUCUUGAUGCCGGCUUCAGCGUGGGGAGGCGACAAAAGUGAUGCGCCGAUGCCGACGCUGACGUGGGGAGGCGACGCUGCUGUGAACGCACCGUCACGACCCAAUCUUAUAAAUUGUGGGUUGAUUUGUAGAUAAGAAGAUACGUUUAUCAUGAUGUAAUAAGGCUAGGGGAUGCUGAGAAAUUGAUGGAUUAUGGUCGUGUUCAAGUAAGUAGUGAUUAAUUGUGUGAUGAAAUGAAAAGAAUUGAAGCAAUAUUAUUCUUGUAAUGCGUUUCAUAAACUUUUUCUGCAGUCUGGUGGAAUCAUCCACAGGGAAAAAGGCAUUGGACCUCACUUUUCUGUUGUUGUGCUCGUCUUGUUGUCGUGUCUCGUUUUCUUGAUUUUGUUUGUCGGUAGCGGUUUGUUAAGCUCUUCUGCCACUGGUUAGUUGAUAUUGACUGGUUUGAUUACCACAUUAUGAUAGAUCUCAGGAAGAGUAUUUAUAUGAUAGAUUUAAGUUUUUACAUUUUAGAUUUUAGGCAUUUUUUGUAUUUGGGAUGAUUUGACCUAUUAGUGAGUCAAUAGUGAAAAAUGAUUUAAAAACAUGCAAAAUAUCUAGAUUUUGUAGAUAGCAUUGAUUAAUCACCUUCAUUUUGUUGAAGAAAUAAAGUGGUUGAAUAAUUAUAUAAUCUAAUUUUCUUAUUUCAUAUUAUAAAUGAAAUUCAACCGAAGAGGGAAUUGGGGCAAGAUGAAUGCUGAAUUCUAAAGAACUCAGUAUCAUUGAUAUUUGAUAUAGCUUGGAAGUACAGAGUUAGCUAAUAAUGCUUUGUAUUAGUUGGAAGCUUUCGUGAUCAAAUCUAAGAAAGGUGCCAAGGUCCAAAAUGUUUGUUAUUAUGUGGUACACAACCGUCUUUCCAUGAACAUUUAUGUAAUCAUGUAGAUGCCAAAUUGUAGAAGGAACUGACAGUAAUGCUCGUUUAGUAUAUAGAGUAGAGAAGUGAAGACAACUUGAGUUUUGGAGGUUGUCCAAUGUAACAUUGCUUUUACUAAUUUUUGGCAUUAGUUGGGUAGAUAUAUGUGUUUCAUUGGGAUAACGAGAUUUCAGCCUGCACAGGAUUUUGUCAUGUUCUUGCCAUUACGAGUUGCACCUUUAAUAAAUACCACAUCAAUUUGGUCCAAGAAUAGCAUUAUCAGAGCAGCCUGGCAUUUUCUUCUUUUUCUCUAAAUUUUCAAAUAGGGUCUGACUUAUGUGUCUUUGCUUUGCAAAUAUGUGGCUUUCCCUUUCACCAUCUUUUCUAUUUUUUUAAAAGAAAAAUGGGAAGGAAAGUAGAGAUAAAUGAUUUUCACUUCUUCUCUUUAGUACUUAGGCUUGAUCCACGUCGAGCUCUCUUCUUGUAAGUCCACCUUGUCUUCUGUUGUCCACCAUUUUCCUGAGUGGGUUGCACCACUUCUCUUUCUAAAGCCGUUAGUCUUUGGAGAUUGUUGACCACACCAAGCUUUUCACAGGUAAUAUUUCGUGGUCUUCACCGUCAUUAUAUGAUGUUAAUUGUAUCAUUGAUUUCUUCACUAAACAUUUUUGUUUUACAUGUUUACCAGUUUUGGAAAAUUGCAUUCUCAUAUUCUUAAAACGGGGUUCUGUAAGUGAAUGUUUGAUAUUCCAUGUUCUUGUGAUUGAUGGUUAUAAGGUAUGCGACACCAUCAUACCUAAGGUUCAAGGUUAUGGUUAGCUGAAGAACGAAGAGUUUCACUGUAAUCCUUGGUUAGGCUAGUGCAACAAUGAAAGGCAUUGGAAUUUUUGUACCUCGGUGCUCUAUGCCUUACCGAAAAGAUGAAUAAAAAUUUGUGAAAUUGAUUUCAAAUUUGCCAAGAAAUGUAGAUAGUUAUUUUGUAGUUUAAGAUGAUUAUAUUGUGAUUAUUUGAAUUGAUUAUGAUGAGUUCACUUUGAGUGUGUUUUUGGUUUUUUUUUGUUCUUUCCAUUGGGGGCUAUUAGUUGGAAAUUUGUGCAGCUUCUGGUUGGCCAGAAUUUAUCUUUUUCUCAAUGAAAUCAGAUUGUAAACGGAAAGCACAAGUAGGCAAUGUAUGUAUUGCUUCCUUCGACUGGAGUUGCAGUGGAAUUUGCAAGUCAGUAGAGAAGAUCAUAUUUGCACAAUCAUAUUAUGAAUGGAAAGUACAAGUUAUGGAGCCACAGUAUGUUUUGCACACAUUCUUUUGCAUUAGAAUAGAGGGGAUGUACCCAUAAAAAAAGGAAUAGAGGGGAUGUUAUUUUUUGAAUAUAAUACUUGAUUGUGAGUAUAAUAGCAUCAAAUGUAUUAUUUGCCUCAAAAGGACUAUAGACUUUUGAAGUAAUUUGUACGCUCGAGAUUUUAAUCAAGAUAAGUUUUAAAUUUCAC
rnacentral:lncRNA from 1 species